rnacentral:rRNA from 1 species
AUCUUCCACAAUGGGCGCAAGCCUGAUGGAGCAACACCGCGUGAGUGAAGAAGGGUUUCGGUUCGUAAAGCUCUGUUGUUGGAGAAGAACGUGCGUGAGAGUAACUGUUCACGCAGUGACGGUAUCGAACCAGAAAGUCCAGGUCAACUACGUGCCAGCAGCCGCGGUAAUACGUAGGUGGCAAGCGUUAUCCGGAUUUAUUGGGCGUAAAGCGAGCGCAGGCGGUUGCUUAGGUCUGAUGUGAAAGCCUUCGGCUUAACCGAAGAAGUGCAUCGGAAACCGGGCGACUUGAGUGCAGAAGAGGACAGUGGAACUCCAUGUGUAGCGGUGGAAUGCGUAGAUAUAUGGAAGAACACCAGUGGCGAAGGCGGCUGUCUGGUCUGCAACUGACGCUGAGGCUCGAAAGCGUGGGUAGCAAA